CCUCAUUACUACUGUAAGUAUAACAACAAUAACAAUACCACAUGUUUAAGGUGGGCAUCCUGGGCAUCUUUCUUGCAUUAUAUUUACGGAUGAGAACGCAGUGCCCGGCAGCCGAUCUUCAUGGCAAAAGCAAGACUUUCUAUCCAAGACCAAGCUUUAUAGGACCUCUCAAAAAACCCUUCUUGAUU